AAGAAUAUUUAGUGAGUUUUUUUUAAUUUUCUCCACUUGUUUAUACCUUGCUCAAAGGACGCACGAUUAAGGCCAUCAGGAACUAAACAGAAUGUAACACCAAGUCUUUCAACCUCUCUGUUCCUAGACUCAUCAUCAAAAAACACCAUUUCUCGAUAGUCAAUUCCAGAUUCGUUGUGGAUCUCUUUGAAGUGAUCCAUUUUACUACCUAUUU